UACGGAGGAUCCAAGCGUUAUCCGGAUUCAUUGGGUUUAAAGGGUGCGUAGGCGGAAUGAUAAGUCAGCGGUGAAAUCCCUCGGCUUAACCGAGGAACUGCCGUUGAUACUGUCAAUCUUGAGUACAUUUGAUGUGGGCGGAAUGUGUCAUGUAGCGGUGAAAUGCUUAGAUAUGACACAGAACACCGAUUGCGAAGGCAGCUCACAAAACUGUAACUGACGCUGAGGCACGAAAGCGUGGGUAGUCAAACAGGA
rnacentral:rRNA from 1 species